rnacentral:rRNA from 1 species
GAAUUGUAUUUUGAAGAAGCGUUUUCUGCGUCUCGGUUGACCCAAAUCCUUUGGGAUAAGGUAUCAUGGAGGGUGAGAAUCCCGUCCGGUUGACCUUAUGAUGCUCUACGAUACGCUUUCAAAGAGUCGAGUUGUUUGGGAUUGCAGCUCAAAAUGGGAGGUAAAUUUCUCCUAAGGCUAAAUAUCGGCGAGAGACCGAUAGCGAACAAGUACCGUGAGGGAAAGAUGAAAAGAACUUUGAAAAGAGAGUUAAAUAGUACGUGAAAUUGUUGAAAGGGAAACGAUUGAAGCCAGUCGUACCGACGAGAAAUCAGCUCUUCUUGUGCGAACUUGUGGGCGUGCGUGAGCUUUACGGCCUCGCCGUUUGCUACGUUUGUGCUCUUUGGGUGUACUUUUUCGUAUGGUAGGCCAAUGUCAGUUUCGAUUAUCAUAAAAUAAUUGGAGGAAUGUAGCUUCGACCUCGGUUGAAGUGUUAUAGCCUCUGGUAGAUGUGGUAAUUGGGACUGAGGAUUGCAACGAAUACCUUUUAGGCUAUCCGUCUGACCUCUGAAAGUCGCUUAGGUGCCGAAAGCUUGCUU